UACAGAGGUCUCAAGCGUUGUUCGGAUUCAUUGGGCGUAAAGGGUGCGUAGGCGGCGCGGUAAGUCGGGUGUGAAAUCUCGGAGCUUAACUCCUAAACUGCAUUCGAUACUGCCGUGCUUGAGGACUGGAGAGGAGACUGGAAUUUACGGUGUAGCGGUGAAAUGCGUAGAUAUCGUAAGGAAGACCAGUGGCGAAGGCGGGUCUCUGGACAGUUCCUGACGCUGAGGCACGAAGGUCAGGGGAGCAAACGGG
rnacentral:rRNA from 1 species